AUUGAACGCUGGCGGCAGGCUUAACACAUGCAAGUCGAGCGAGCGGCGGACGGGUGAGUAAUGUAUGGGAAACUGCCCGAUGGAGGGGGAUAACUACUGGAAAAGGUAGCUAAUACCGCAUACUAUCAGAUGUGCCCAGAUGGGAUUAGCUAGUAGGUGGGGUAAUGGCUCACCGAGGCGACGAUCCCUAGCUGGUCUGAGAGGAUGACCAGCCACACUGGGACUGAGCAACGGUCCAGACUCCGACGGGAGGCAGCAUUGGGGAAUAUUGCACAAUGGGCGCAAGCCUGAUGCAGCCAUGCCGCGUGUGUGAAGAAGGCCUUCGGGUUGGAAAGUACUUUCAGCGGGGAGGCGUUACCCGCAGAGGAAGCACCGGCUAACUCCGUGCCAGCAGCCGCGGUAAUUC
rnacentral:rRNA from 1 species